rnacentral:rRNA from 1 species
AUGAGUCCUAUCAAAGGCCACGACUCAAAUGAUGAAGAAGUCGUUGGCAUCAUGAAGAAUAUGCUUUUCAAUAUCAUUUAUGGCGUUCCCGUCAACUUCCAUGAUUUCUUCAUGAGGACUCUGGUAAAUAUUGCUAUGUCACCAUUUGAGCUGAAGCCUUAUGCACCAUGGAUUAUGAGGUUCAUCAGGACAAGGUCUUUACUCAAUUACAAGGCUGAUACUCUGAACCACGGCAGCUACUUGCCUCCAAUUGAAGUCCUCAAACAGACAUUUUCCUUAGCCGAUGACAAAGGCAAGGCAACUGCCGUGAUAGAUGAAGGCACUCAUCCAUUGGAUGGUCAAUUUCACAAAGCUGCAUCCUACUCCACCAAUGAUGACUCUACCACACAUGACUCUGCCGCCAACACCUCUGCCAAGCAAAUUCCUCAAGCCACAGCACCCAGGGUG